rnacentral:rRNA from 1 species
UACGGAGGGAGCUAGCGUUGUUCGGAAUUACUGGGCGUAAAGCGUGCGCAGGCGGUUUUGUAAGGCAGAUGUGAAAUCCCCGGGCUUAACCUGGGAAUGGCAUUUGGGACUGCAAGGCUCGAGUGCGGCAGAGGAGACUGGAAUUCCUGGUGUAGCAGUGAAAUGCGUAGAUAUCAGGAGGAACACCGAUGGCGAAGGCAGGUCUCUGGGCUGACACUGACGCUCAUGCACGAAAGCGUGGGGAGCAAACAGG